rnacentral:rRNA from 1 species
CAGCAGCCGCGGUAAUACGUAGGUGGCAAGCGUUGUCCGGAAUUAUUGGGCGUAAAGCGCGCGCAGGCGGAUAGGUCAGUCUGUCUUAAAAGUUCGGGGCUUAACCCCGUGAUGGGACGGAAACUGCCAAUCUAGAGUAUCGGAGAGGAAAGUGGAAUUCCUAGUGUAGCGGUGAAAUGCGUAGAUAUUAGGAAGAACACCAGUGGCGAAGGCGACUUUCUGGACGAAAACUGACGCUGAGGCGCGAAAGCCAGGGGAGCGAACGGGAUUAGAUACCCCCGUAGUCCCUGUCUCUUAUACC